rnacentral:rRNA from 1 species
AGAGUUUGAUCAUGGCUCAGAUUGAACGCUGGCGGCAGGCCUAACACAUGCAAGUCGAACGGUAGCACAGAGAGCUUGCUCUUGGGUGACGAGUGGCGGACGGGUGAGUAAUGUCUGGGAAACUGCCCGAUGGAGGGGGAUAACUACUGGAAACGGUAGCUAAUACCGCAUAACGUCGCAAGACCAAAGUGGGGGACCUUCGGGCCUCACACCAUCGGAUGUGCCCAGAUGGGAUUAGCUAGUAGGUGGGGUAACGGCUCACCUAGGCGACGAUCCCUAGCUGGUCUGAGAGGAUGACCAGCCACACUGGAACUGAGACACGGUCCAGACUCCUACGGGAGGCAGCAGUGGGGAAUAUUGCACAAUGGGCGCAAGCCUGAUGCAGCCAUGCCGCGUGUAUGAAGAAGGCCUUCGGGUUGUAAAGUACUUUCAGCGAGGAGGAAGGCGGUGAGGUUAAUAACCUCAUCGAUUGACGUUACUCGCAGAAGAAGCACCGGCUAACUCCGUGCCAGCAGCCGCGGUAAUACGGAGGGUGCAAGCGUUAAUCGGAAUUACUGGGCGUAAAGCGCACGCAGGCGGUCUGUCAAGUCGGAUGUGAAAUCCCCGGGCUCAACCUGGGAACUGCAUUCGAAACUGGCAGGCUAGAGUCUUGUAGAGGGGGGUAGAAUUCCAGGUGUAGCGGUGAAAUGCGUAGAGAUCUGGAGGAAUACCGGUGGCGAAGGCGGCCCCCUGGACAAAGACUGACGCUCAGGUGCGAAAGCGUGGGGAGCAAACAGGAUUAGAUACCCUGGUAGUCCACGCCGUAAACGAUGUCGACUUGGAGGUUGUGCCCUUGAGGCGUGGCUUCCGGAGCUAACGCGUUAAGUCGACCGCCUGGGGAGUACGGCCGCAAGGUUAAAACUCAAAUGAAUUGACGGGGGCCCGCACAAGCGGUGGAGCAUGUGGUUUAAUUCGAUGCAACGCGAAGAACCUUACCUACUCUUGACAUCCAGAGAACUUAGCAGAGAUGCUUUGGUGCCUUCGGGAACUCUGAGACAGGUGCUGCAUGGCUGUCGUCAGCUCGUGUUGUGAAAUGUUGGGUUAAGUCCCGCAACGAGCGCAACCCUUAUCCUUUGUUGCCAGCGGUUCGGCCGGGAACUCAAAGGAGACUGCCAGUGAUAAACUGGAGGAAGGUGGGGAUGACGUCAAGUCAUCAUGGCCCUUACGAGUAGGGCUACACACGUGCUACAAUGGCAUAUACAAAGAGAAGCGACCUCGCGAGAGCAAGCGGACCUCAUAAAGUAUGUCGUAGUCCGGAUUGGAGUCUGCAACUCGACUCCAUGAAGUCGGAAUCGCUAGUAAUCGUAGAUCAGAAUGCUACGGUGAAUACGUUCCCGGGCCUUGUACACACCGCCCGUCACACCAUGGGAGUGGGUUGCAAAAGAAGUAGGUAGCUUAACCUUCGGGAGGGCGCUUACCACUUUGUGAUUCAUGACUGGGGUGAAGUCGUAACAAGGUAACCGUAGGGGAACCUGCGGUUGGAUCACCU